rnacentral:rRNA from 1 species
AUUGAACGCUGGCGGCAUGCUCUACACAUGCAAGUCGAACGGCAGCGCGGGCUUCGGCCUGGCGGCGAGUGGCGAACGGGUGAGUAAUGCAUCGGAACGUGCCCAGUAGUGGGGGAUAGCCCGGCGAAAGCCGGAUUAAUACCGCAUACGACCUGAGGGUGAAAGCGGGGGACCGAAAGGCCUCGCGCUAUUGGAGCGGCCGAUGUCGGAUUAGCUAGUUGGUGGGGUAAAGGCUUACCAAGGCGACGAUCCGUAGCUGGUCUGAGAAGACGACCAGCCACACUGGGACUGAGACACGGCCCAGACUCCUACGGGAGGCAGCAGUGGGGAAUUUUGGACAAUGGGGGCAACCCUGAUCCAGCCAUGCCGCGUGCGGGAAGAAGGCCUUCGGGUUGUAAACCGCUUUUGUUCGGGAAGAAAUCCUCUGGGCUAAUACCCCGGGGGGAUGACGGUACCGGAAGAAUAAGCACCGGCUAACUACGUG